rnacentral:lncRNA from 1 species
AUGUUUUUAAGCACUGUCGAAUCAAAUUGUAUGCGUUGUGAAUCUGAUAAAACCGAACAACGGCCAAAACCGAACAAAAUCUGAAGUCCCGAAUAAGUUCGGUUUAAACAGGUUUCACUGUACAAAUAUUCAUUCAUUAAGUAUAGAUGCGCACUGAAAGAGAAGAGUGAUGGAGUUUAUAAAUUAUUUCUUAACUCAAAUUAUGCAUGCUUUCAAGUAAUAGGCAAGUAUCAAUAAUUUCGAUUGUAAACACAUUGUUAUUCCUUCAUUUUCUGAUAAAUGAAUAUAGAACAAUCGAGUUCAAAAUAUUAUUGAUUUGUUUUUUCAUAAAUAAAACUAAUAUACCUUAAUUUCAAUUGAUUAUCAUUUUAUAAAUAAGCAAAGUUAAUUGUGUCAUUCAUUUCACAAGAAACGCUGUCACAAUAAGACGACACGUGUCGUAUCUUUCGUCAAGAAACACACAUAAGUUGUAAUCCGGUUUUCAUGAGGUUCAUGUUGCAUAUUGUUAAUAAGUUUCCAUGUGGACUGUUUUUAGUAUUUAUCCUCUGUUUGUGUCUGUAACCAAAAGUUUUAUUUGCCUUCUCUUCGACUUACAGUUCAUGUUGCUCAUUGUGUAUCUUAUUUUUAAGUGGUUGUAUAAUUUGAACAGCUUUGACAGGUGUCCUUCAAAUUUUAAGCUAAUGCAUUCUAUAUUGCUUUUUAAAAGCAACUAUUUUCUAUUUUAGAUCAAACUGUUCUUCAUUAAUUUUGGUGGUUACGUCUGUUUAGAAGCAAAUUUUAGUGAUACUGAUAGACAGCCAAUACCUGGAUAUUUUCAGUGGCUCGAAGAUACAGUUGCUAGUGAAUACCUUAUGUGUCCAAACUCUUGUGAACAACAGAUCCAAGUACCGCAGAAAAACCAUAAUCCACUGUGCAAUAUGCAUUGCUCAUUUGUUUGUUAAUCGUAUCUAUAUCACUGGUUCUUUACUUGACAAUGAAGUACGAAAUAUUUUUACUUUUAAGGGAUUUCAAAAUGCAAUAUUUUAGCAGUUUCAAUAAUUUCGUCAGUUUGCAACCGACCAGAUUUGACGUUUACUUGUCAUUCAAUACAGAUAAUUACAAUAUAAUGAAAUGGGUAAAUACAGUUGUAGUUUACAAGGUAGCAAAAAAGGAUUAAAAGUUUGUCUGCCUCCUCGAGAUUUACCCCAGGUGGUGUACAAGUCGAACAAAUUUCGACUGAAAUUGCAAACUCAAAAUCGUAUCUAGUAAUCCUAAGCAACGACUACUUGAAAUCACAAUUUCAAAAUACUGAAUGGGAUCAAAUUUGGGCUCAGUACAAGUCAAACAAGUGUCAAAGAAUUGCUGUUGUUAAUUAUGAUAUUUUGGAUAGUAGUCAUUUCAAAGAAAGGCGAUUAAAAGCCUUUGACUUUUGUAAUUUCGGCAACAAAUUGAUGGACAACCUUGAAGUAAGACUUCGAAGCACGAACCCAUAGAUGACAACUAAUAAAUAUCAUUUUUAUAUAGAUUAGACCGUUGGUUUUCCUGUU